rnacentral:rRNA from 1 species
GAACCGCAUGGUUCGAAAUUGAAAGGCGGCUUCGGCUGUCACUUAUGGAUGGACCCGCGUCGCAUUAGCUAGUUGGUGAGGUAACGGCUCACCAAGGCAACGAUGCGUAGCCGACCUGAGAGGGUGAUCGGCCACACUGGGACUGAGACACGGCCCAGACUCCUACGGGAGGCAGCAGUAGGGAAUCUUCCGCAAUGGACGAAAGUCUGACGGAGCAACGCCGCGUGAGUGAUGAAGGCUUUCGGGUCGUAAAACUCUGUUGUUAGGGAAGAACAAGUGCUAGUUGAAUAAGCUGGCACCUUGACGGUACCUAACCAGAAAGCCACGGCUAACUACGUGCCAGCAGCCGCGGUAAUACGUAGGUGGCAAGCGUUAUCCGGAAUUAUUGGGCGUAAAGCGCGCGCAAGGUGGUUUCUUAAGUCUGAUGUG